GCCUUCGUGGUGUAGUGGUCAGCACGUUCGACGUGUAACCGAGAGGUCCAUGUUUCGAUUCCCGGCGAAGGCA
rfam:Stegodyphus mimosarum contig14812, whole genome shotgun sequence.